rnacentral:rRNA from 1 species
UGGGGAAUUUUGGACAAUGGGCGCAAGCCUGAUCCAGCCAUGCCGCGUGCGGGAAGAAGGCCUUCGGGUUGUAAACCGCUUUGUCAGGGAAGAAAUCUUCUGAGUUAAUACCUCGGGAGGAUGACGGUACCUGAAGAAUAAGCACCGGCUAACUACGUGCCAGCAGCCGCGGUAAUACGUAGGGUGCAAGCGUUAAUCGGAAUUACUGGGCGUAAAGCGUGCGCAGGCGGUUUUGUAAGACAGAGGUGAAAUCCCCGGGCUCAACCUGGGAACUGCCUUUGUGACUGCAAGGCUUGAGUGCGGCAGAGGGGGGAUGGAAUUCCGCGUGUAGCAGUGAAAUGCGUAGAUAUGCGGAGGAACACCGAUGGCGAAGGCAAUCCCCUGGGCCUGCACUGACGCUCAUGCACGAAAGCGUGGGGAGCAAACAGGAUUAGAUACCCCUGGUAGUCCACGCCCUAAACCGAUGUCAACUGGUUGUUGGGAAGGUUCCUUCUCAGUAACGUAGCUAACGCGUGAAGUUGACCGCCUGGGGAGUACGGCCG